GUGUUCCACGCUGUCGGUUCGCCGCCCGUCGGUGUCAACUGGCAUGUCCUGUGGAACGUCCUGCCGGUGGCGGUCCGGGCUUUCGGCUUGCGUAAGGGCUCACGCCCGAAGCAGGCCGAACAGUACCGGCCGCCGGUCCAAUCCCGCCACGGUGCUCUUCACCGAGUGUCGAGGUGGGCCGGCACGUUUACUUUGAACAAAUUAGAGUGCUUAAAGCAGGCUGGUGUCCGCCUGAAUACUGUGUGCAUGGAAUAAUAGAAUAGGACCUCGGUUCUAUUUUGUUGGUUUUCGGAACCCGAGGUAAUGAUUAAUAGGGACAGGCGGGGGCAUUCGUAUUGCGACGUUAGAGGUGAAAUUCUUGGAUCGUCGCAAGACGAACCUAAGCGAAAGCAUUUGCCAAGUAUGUUCUCGUUAAUCAAGAACGAAAGUUAGAGGUUCGAAGGCGAUCAGAUACCGCCCUAGUUCUAACCAUAAACGAUGCCAGCCAGCGAUCCGCCGAAGUUCCUCCGAUGACUCGGCGGGCAGCUUCCGGGAAACCAAAGCUUUUGGGUUCCGGGGGAAGUAUGGUUGCAAAGCUGAAACUUAAAGGAAUUGACGGAAGGGCACCACCAGGAGUGGAGCCUGCGGCUUAAUUUGACUCAACACGGGAAACCUCACCAGGCCCGGACACCGGAAGGAUUGACAGAUUGAGAGCUCUUUCUUGAUUCGGUGGGUGGUGGUGCAUGGCCGUUCUUAGUUGGUGGAGCGAUUUGUCUGGUUAAUUCCGAUAACGAACGAGACUCUAGCCUGCUAACUAGGCGAUUCCGGUACCCACAAUAGUGUUACCGGCGAUUCAAUUUCUUCUUAGAGGGACAGGCGGCUCCUAGCCGCACGAGACUGAGCAAUAACAGGUCUGUGAUGCCCUUAGAUGUCCUGGGCCGCACGCGCGCUACACUGAAGGAAUCAGCGUGUCUUCCCUGGCCGACAGGCCCGGGUAACCCGUUGAACCUCCUUCGUGCUAGGGAUUGGGGCUUGCAAUUGUUCCCCAUGAACGAGGAAUUCCCAGUAAGCGCGAGUCAUAAGCUCGCGUUGAUUACGUCCCUGCCCUUUGUACACACCGCCCGUCGCUACUACCGAUUGAAUGAUUUAGUGAGGUCUUCGGACUGGUGCGCGGCGAUCGGCUUUUACUGCCGGCCGCCGAUGUUGCCGGAAAGAUGACCAAACUUGAUCAUUUAGAGGAAGUAAAAGU
rnacentral:rRNA from 2 species